rnacentral:rRNA from 1 species
CAGUAUCGGAUUCGUAGUGACCUGCGGAAGGAUCAUUACAAAAGAACCCAUGCCCGGUCGAUUUCCGGGCAGGGCGCCCCGCGGCGCCCAACUCUCACACCCUCUGCGUACACAUCCAUGUUGCUUCCCCGGGGAUGGGCUGCUGGCCACCCCGGGGGAGGGCCACCAAGGCGCACACGAUGCCGACCAACCAUGCGACCAUUCCACCUGUCUGAAGGCCGACGGGCCGAGGGAGAAGGGGAGAGCGAGGAAACGAAUCAGAACAAAAAAAACUUUCAACAACGGAUCUCUUGGUUCCCGCAUCGAUGAAGAACGCAGCGAAAUGCGAUAAGUAAUGUGAAUUGCAGAAUUCAGUGAAUCAUCGAAUCUUUGAACGCACAUUGCGCCCCCUGGCAUUCCGGGGGGCAUGCCUGUUCGAGCGUCUCCGAAAGAGAAGACUCACGCGGGGGAACGCGUGGUGGUGGCGGCGGCGGCGGCCCCGAAUGGGGAGCCACCCUGUCGGAAUCAAUGGGCGGACGCCUGCCGCGAUGCCGAGCGUGAUAUGAAGCAUGGGCGCCCGAGCGCGGCGAGGCUCCCAGCCCCUGGCCCAUGGGUCUGGGCGGGGAGGGCAAGACACUGGAACUCCUCGAAUCAGGUAGGGAUACCCGCUGAACUUAAGCAUUGAAA